CCCCCCGGAAGGUUCCAGAAAAAGGGCGCCUCACCAAGGCCGAAAAGUACAUCUAUGGCUCGCUGGCCACGCUGCUGGUGUGCGUGUGCGCCCUUUUCGGCAUUGUGGUUCUUCUCUGCACUGCUUGCAUCAGUGCCUACCAGUAUGUCAUCCAAACCUUUGUCAGCCUGGCUGUCGGAUCGCUCACUGGGGACGCCCUGCUGCACCUCAUCCCCAAGUUCUUGGGCCUCCAUUCUCACUCGCACAGUGAGGGCGAUGCUCACCUCCACCACGGACCCGAAGCCCAGGACAACCUCUGGAAACUCCUGGCCGUGCUAGGGGGUCUCUACCUCUUCUUCCUCCUGGAGAAACUCUUCACCCUCCUGGGAC